AUUGAACGCUGGCGGCAGGCUUAACACAUGCAAGUCGAGCGGAGAUGAGGUGCUUGCACCUUAUCUUAGCGGCGGACGGGUGAGUAAUGCUUAGGAAUCUGCCUAUUAGUGGGGGACAACAUUCCGAAAGGAAUGCUAAUACCGCAUACGUCCUACGGGAGAAAGCAGGGGAUCUUCGGACCUUGCGCUAAUAGAUGAGCCUAAGUCGGAUUAGCUAGUUGGUGGGGUAAAGGCCUACCAAGGCGACGAUCUGUAGCGGGUCUGAGAGGAUGAUCCGCCACACUGGGACUGAGACACGGCCCAGACUCCUACGGGAGGCAGCAGUGGGGAAUAUUGGACAAUGGGGGGAACCCUGAUCUAGCCAUGCCGCGUGUGUGAAGAGGGCCUUAUGGUUGUAAAGCACUUUAAGCGAGGAGGAGGCUACUGAGACUAAUACUCUUGGAUAGUGGACGUUACUCGCAGAAUAAGCGCCGGCUAACUCUGUGCCAGCCGCCGCCGUAACAC
rnacentral:rRNA from 1 species